CAGCCGCCGCGGUAAUACGGAGGAUCCAAGCGUUAUCCGGAAUCAUUGGGUUUAAAGGGUCCGUAGGCGGUCUUGUAAGUCAGUGGUGAAAGCCCAUCGCUCAACGGUGGAACGGCCAUUGAUACUGCAGGACUUGAAUUAUUGGGAAGUAACUAGAAUAUGUAGUGUAGCGGUGAAAUGCUUAGAGAUUACAUGGAAUACCAAUUGCGAAGGCAGGUUACUACCAAUUGAUUGACGCUGAUGGACGAAAGCGUGGGUAGCGAACAGGAUUAGAGACCCGCGUAGUCCCUGUCUCUUAUAC
rnacentral:rRNA from 1 species